CCUACGGGGGGCUGCAGUGGGGAAUCUUGCACAAUGGGCGAAAGCCUGAUGCAGCGAUUCCGCGUGGAGGAUGACGCAUUACGGUGUGUAAACUCCUUUUUUGGUGGAAGACGAAUGACGGUACACCAAGAAUAAGGGACGGCUAACUACGUGCCAGCAGCCGCGGUAAUACGUAGGUCCCAAGCGUUAUCCGGAUUUACUGGGCGUAAAGUGUCCGUAGCCGGAUAUACAAGUCUGUUUUCAAAUACCACGACUCAAUCGUGGAAAGGGAAUAGAUACUGUAUAUCUAGAGAAUAUUGGAGGUUAGUGGAAUUUCCGGUGGAGCGGUGAAAUGCGUUGAUAUCGGAAAGAACGCCGAAAGCGAAAGCAGCUAACUAUGAUAUUUCUGACGGUGAUGGACGAAAGCUUGAGGAGCAAACGGGAUUAGAUACCCCGGUAGUC
rnacentral:rRNA from 1 species